AAUAAAGUGCCUGAUAAAAGGAAUAUUCUGAUAGGAUAAAUUAUGAAGAUUUUCUUCCUUUAUUA
rnacentral:tRNA from 1 species